GAUGAACGCUGGCGGCGUGCUUAACACAUGCAAGUCGAACGAUGAAGCCCAGCUUGCUGGGUGGAUUAGUGGCGAACGGGUGAGUAACACGUGAGUAACCUGCCCUUAACUCUGGGAUAAGCCUGGGAAACUGGGUCUAAUACCGGAUAGGAGCGUCCACCGCAUGGUGGGUGUUGGGAAGAUUUAUCGGUUUUGGAUGGACUCGCGGCCUAUCAGCUUUUUGGUGAGGUAAUGGCUCACCAAGGCGACGACGGGUAGCCGGCCUGAGAGGGUGACCGGCCACACUGGGACUAAGAGAGGGCCCAGACUCCUACGGUAGGCAGCAGUGGGGAAUAUUGCCCAAUGGUCGCAAGUCUGAUGCAGCGACGCUGGGUGAGGGAGGAAGGCCUUCGGGUUGUAAAGCUCUUUCAGUAGGGAAGAAGCGAAAGUGACGGUACCUGCAGAAGAAGCACCGGCUAACUACGUG
rnacentral:rRNA from 1 species